rnacentral:lncRNA from 1 species
UUCUCUCGCCGUUGUAGAUACCAAGCAUUUUCCUUAGGAAAAUGAUAUUCGGCCCACCACGGGAACAUAACGAAGCCAGAAACGCAUGUUUCCUCUGCCGUUUCAAAGUUUUAGAUUUAAAAAUUAAAAACAAAAUUUACCAUUAAAAAAAAAUAAAGCUAAUGAAAAGAAAUUAAAAAAUCUAAAUUAUUAUCCCUCCCCUCACUCACCCCCUCUCUAACUCACCCGCUCUGUCUCUCUAAUUCUUAUCCCUCCUCUCAGUCACCCGCUCUCUGACUCACCCGCUCUGUCUCUCUCACUCUUACCCACGAAGCUCGUUCCCCUCACACUCACCCCCAAGCUCACUGUCAAAAUUUUGCUCAGAUCUCAGCUAACACAUCAUCAUAACCGCAACGAUGACGCUAGGCUCAGGAGGAUCCAGUGUUGUGGGUCAGUUUCUUCUCUGAUCUUGCCCUUUUUUGUUCAAUCUGUUUAUGCCCUUGAUUGAUUUAUUCUCUUUGUUUUGGGUGGCUUUGUGCAGUCUUAUGAACAUUUUUUUUGGCAUAAAUGCAUGCGGGUUGCUAAGUUUGAUUGUUAAUUAGACCUGAUCCGCAAUUCUAUGCGUUUUUGAAUUUUUGAUCGCGAAAUUUAGUUAAUUUAAUUUAAUAGUGUUAGAUCAUCAUCACUAUUAAAUUAAUAGUUAAAGAAAUUCUUUUGACACGGCCUUUAUGAAACCUUGUAUGUGAUACUUUGCUUAUAAAAGUAUUUGGAUUGUUUUUUGUAUUUAUAUUUUAAAAUUACUAGAAACAAGUUAUUGGAAGUGUGAUACUUUGUGAAAUGUUAAAACCUUAUGAUUUGGUUGUAAUUUUGUUUUUGCUUAUAUAUGUUUACGUUUGUUGGCAGUAAAGCAUAUAUUGCUAAUCCAGUAAUUGCAGCUUGAUUCUAAGGUUCUUUUACUUUAUUAUGCAAGGUAACAAAAUUAAUCAAAUUAUGAAUAAAAUCUUUUACACUACACAAAAAUUUAUGCCAUUUAGUGCAAGAAAAGUUAUUUGAUUGAAAUGAAAUAAUAUAAUUGUAAAAAUUAACAAAGUCAAAUAAAUUAUACGCAACAAUCUAAAUCUUAUAAAUUCUUAAAAAUUCCUACUCUUUGUAUAUGAUAAGGUAAGAAUUUUGAGAUCAGUCUUCAGUUUGACAAAAAAAUUAUAUCCGAACUCAUAGUCUUUCCUUAGGGAAGCAAAGAAAUUCGUGACCAAUAAUGUGAUCAUAUAACCACUAGGUAAGAAAAUUAUGUAUCAUACAUAAGUCAAUAAUUAGAUUUUUUAAAAGUUAAUUACAGUAUUAUUGAAUGACAACCUAAUUUUCUCCUACCCAUGUGAGCUAAGCGCUACAUAAGAAUGAGAUUUUUUGAAUAAUAACAAAAAGUACAAGUAAAUAAAAUAUAUUUAUUUAAGCUAAAUGCUACAUAAGAAGUUCCUUUUAUAUACUAGUCUCUGUCUCUCUUCCUCUCUCUCUUUCUCUCUCAUACUAGUCUCUCUCUCUCUCUCUCAGGAGUAUUUUAUCGUACAAUCUAAGUAUUUUUUUAAGUUCAUUUUUUAAAAGAUUGGAGAGUAGAUCAAAUCUAAAUCAAUUUUUUUAGUCUUUACCUCCCCUAAAAUUCAAAAUGUAUUAACUAGCUAAAUAAAAAUACUUGAAAAUUGUUUGACUAAGUCAUUGAGGCCAUAAUUUAAACACUGAUAGAUAGUUAAAAAGUUCCAAUAAAAUAUGAUCAUCUAAUGGUGUCCUUACAGUUUUGUAACCACAACCAGUACAAUGUCUCUGUCAAAUGAAAUGUUUCUACCCAAAAUCAAUUUCCUUUUUACUAUAUGGAAUUAAUCGAUUUGGAAUUGCGGAUUUUUAAUAGAUAUAAUAGAAUACCCUAAGUAUUUUGAUAGUAUUCUAAAAUUAAUGUUGACCUUAAUGCAUGGCUUCGGGCGUCACUGUCAUGAACUUGGUCAGUCUAACAAAUAUAAUGUAACUCAUGGUAUCAUCAAAAUAUGUGCAACCUCACUUAGUAGAAACCAGAUCAGAUUAGGGCAAAUUAUCUCUGUUGUCUUGGUCAAAUCUUUUGUGACUUCAUCAAUAGAUAUAACAUGUAGCCACGCCACAAUUUUUUUUUAAUUUUAAUUGGAAUGCUUAGAAGUCUAUUAAAGAUUAUAAUGUCACCUAAUUAAGAAUAAUAUCAAUUAUUCUAUUUUAAUAUAAUAUUUAAUUAAAUCAUUGCCAUUAUUGUACUCAGUCAUGGCUCAUAUGUGGAUCCACUAAUUGUUUCGCACCGUUGAUUGAUUGUGGGACGGUAAAGAUUUGAUUAAAUUAAUAUUGGAAUUGGUAUGCGAUCUCACUAAAGUUGACUUCUAAAAUUGCAUUCUCAUUCAUUCAGAUUUAAAAAACAAGAAUGAUAAUAUGAUAGUUACUAUUUUACGUUUGAAAUAUUAUGUUUCUUCUGAAAGCUACAAAUCUCAUUUACAUUUCCUAGUCAAAGACUUAUUGAAAUAAAUUAUUUAUGCUAUUAAUUCAGUUAGUUAAGGAUAUACUUUAAAUGAUAUGACAUUUAAUCAACCAACGAUACAACAUAUAUCGAUUUAAUAUUAAGAUAUCUAAACAAAAUGAGAUGACAAGAUCAGUACUCAACAUAUAAUUUAAUUUUAAUAUAACUUCUUUCAUAAAUAUUGAUACAAUAAUAUUGUAUCAAUAUCAUGUCACUUGUUUUACUUUAUUUACUUAUUACUUAACUCUUUUAGCACUUAUACGUCACUCAUAAACUCGUAUAUAUUUUGUAUGCAUCGAAUUGUUGAGAAUAGAAUUCAUAGAGUUCAGCCCUUGUGCAUGAACUUAGGAUUUCUCUAUUAAGUUUACUUGGAUAUGAUUAUAUUUUUGUUCUAGUUUAUGACCUCUUCUCAUUUUUUUUCGAUUACAUAUGAUUUUCAUUAAAUCACUACUGUAGUUGGCAUUUCACAUCACCCGCAAUUGAUUAGUUGCUCUCUAAUCCAACAAAAUUAAUAUGGAAAGAAAUGAAUGGCCAGCGAUAAAUAUUCCAACAUUAUGCGUUACGCUGAAGAUUAAGCCAUUCCACUCCUACAAAACUGAAUCUCUUUGACAGAAUGCUUUUUCACGUGAUCAUGUAUGUGUCAAAGUUUUGUGACAGAUAUAUUAUUUUGCAGAUGUGGCAAGCACAAUCGUUUCAAAAUCUUAGAGGCCUUGAAAUUUUGAUUAUUACAAAAUCUAAGAGGAUAGUUACAAAAUUCUGUCACAAACAGUAAAAGUUAAGUGAUUCUUGACAUAAUACUAUCAAAAGAUUUAAAUAAAAUCUCACAUUUUAAUAUUUUACAAAAAUGUGUUUUAAAUAUUUUAAUUUUUUUGACAUAAUUCUAUCAAUGAACUUUCUUUUUAAAUUUUAAAUUCCACAUAGGCAUUGAAAAUCACGUAGUUUUAAAAGAUUCCAAUUAUUUAAGUGAUGUGAAUAUAUCUUCAAUAAGUCAACGACAAAAUUCUAUGAAACAAAAUUUACUAUUUUAAUUAUUUUAUAUUACCACUUCAAUAAACUAAAACAAUGACAUUUCAUAUGCUCAAAAAAGAAAAACUUAUGUAGGCCGAGUUCGUCAUCUCAUCAUAUUAAAAAGGCGUGUUCAACCAAUAAGAAUUUGCCAUCUAAAAAGUUCAAUGGGUCUUUUGAGUCUGAACCUGAGUGUUUCAGGUCGGACUCAGCCUAAGCUCGGGCAUAAAACACAAUAAAUGCUAAAAAAAAUAAAAGAAUAAAUAUUUUAUUUUUAAUUAAAAUACACUUUUUAAAAUAUGUUUAACCUAUCCAGAACAUAUAUUUAAAGUUUUAAUUCUUUAACAGAACUUUUAAUACCUAAUCUAAUAAGAAAGUUUAUAAAUUAUAAAUUUAUAGAAUUCAAUGAAAAAGGUUUAAAAAAAUUAAAGUAUAAAUAUGAGGUUUUAUUUUAUGUACCGCUGAUAUAAAAUUAACACAAAAACAUUCUGAAAUCGAAAGCUUGGAACGAAUCUCACGCCUCUCGCCUUCUCUUUCUCGCAUUUCGCAUUCCUCUUUGCCUCUCUCUCUCUCUCUCUCUCUCACACACACACACACACAUAAAUGUUAACCUCACCAGUCCUCACAAAUAAGCCGUUUGCUUUUAUCACUUGCUGGGCAAUCAUCUCCAAAAAUGAAACAACUGAAAUUCAAAUGGGAUAUUUAUUUUUCUCUCCAGAUUCUUUUCUCUGAAAUAAUGCUAAAACAAUUUUUUUUUUGUUUUUUUUGUAUAAUUUCAGCAAAGGUCCAGAUCGCUCAAGGCCUAAUUUCAUCUCAAGGUUUGUCUUUUUCCUCUUGAUUGCCUUUCGUUAUUGGUUUCUCAUGUGACAUUACUUUACUUUGUUCUUUGCUUAUUGUAAAUUUAUUCACGGUUUCUACAUUAUAAGUUACGGUCUUUGUUUACUUUUAUUAAAAAUUAUGGUAUAUGAAUAAUAAGAAUAAUAAUAAUAUUGGCUUGUUUGCGUAAUUGUCUUCGAUAUUGACUGUAUUUACAAGAUUCUCUGUGACAUAUUUCUUAUUGUGAUUGUUUAAUUAGUCUCGAUUGCAAUUUUUACAAGAUUUGAUGAAUGUUAAAAUUUAAGUAACAAUUUAAAUUUGUACACCAAGUGUUUGUUAAAAUUUAAGUAACAAUUUAAGUAACAAGUUCUUUAUUUCUCUAAAAAUGUGCAUAAUUUCCCACUUAUACAAGUGUCAAGAUAUUUUUGACUUUCUUUUUUUUUUUUUAAGUACUAAUACUAAUUUAUUGUUUGGUUAUAAGUACUAUAAAUCAAACAGGAGAAAAUAAUUGAGUUUUUUUUUUGUUAACUAAAAAAUACGUAUUAUAAAUGUUACUUAUACAAAUGCACAUUACUAUUCAAAAUAAUAAAAAUUUUGCAUUGGAAACAAUUUUGAAAAGAAAAAUAAAAGUUUUUAAUGGAGAAAGGAAAUGUGGAGGGAAAGUUUGAUAGAAGAUGCACACUAGCUAGUUUUGGAAUUAUACCGUCAGGCGUCAGUCAUUUUAUAAAAAAAAAAGAUGGAAAUAAUUUGAUCAGCCACCGGAGCUUUACUUCAGUGAUGCAUGUAUAUUCUAAGCUUCAUGACAUCAUAUUAAAAACGUAUUGCUAAGGUAAUUUGAAAUUCGUUUUAUCCAAUGAAUAUUACAUUUACUGGUAUGUUUAAUAUUUUGUUUUGGUUAAAAAUUUUACUAACAGCUAAUAACUGAAUUUGACUCAUUUUUAUGUAAAUUUUAUAGACCCACCGAUUCACCAUUUUUUAAUGUUAUAAUCAUUGUAGGCAUGUUAUUUUUAAAUUAUGACUCCAUGUGAAACCAAAAUUUAAAUUUCACCAUCUUUUAUAGAGUUUGGUUAUGAUAAUCAAAUAAUACAAUAAACAAACACAAGACAAAAAAAUUUACGUGGUUCAACAUAUUAAUUAAUAUGCCUACAUCCACGGUUGGUGAUACCAAUAAACCACUAUAUAAUGAAAAAAUAUACAAAUAAUAACAAGCUCUCAGAUGCUCCAAAAAAAAGAAAAAAAAGAAACACCAAUCUCAACACUCAAAAUCAAUCAACCGCAGCAGUUUGGCCUCACAGGAGCUCUUUCUGUCUUGUGCUUUCCCUCAUUCAUUCUCUUUACAAAUACAAUGCUCACAAAAAAACAAAACAAAUUACCGAAAACAUACAUAACAGAUUAAAAAAGCACACGCCGCGCCCGUCCCCCAAUUCCUGCUCUGCGACGCCAUUUACGUAAAUUACUUUUUGGCUGAAAAAAUAUCGCUUUCCCCAACAAAACAAAUGAAUCAGUUAGACAAAUAUAUCCAAUUUUAAUGGACAUUGUUAAAUUAAUGAAGAAGAGUAGAGAGCAAAUGAGAAGGAAAGCGUAUACAAAUUACAAUUACUAACCAGAGUUAUUAGCACCAUUAGAUAUAUAUCCCUGCUGAAUCCCCUCCUCUGUUCACCAACUAACAUUUAAACGUUCUAAAUUAUACAACUCACACAACGUCUCGGGUAAUGUUUCUAUCUCCCUUUGAUUGGCCAAACUAAGGUAUUUCAAAUGUAAUAAUUUUUCUAUAUUUGUUGGAACUUCUUUGAUGAAAUCCUCAGGCGACCUCUCAUCAUGCACCUCUAAUUUUAAUGCCCUCAAACAAGUUAAUUUAUCAAAUAAUUGAGGUAGGAUUACGCUAGAACGUUUAGUACUUUCAAGUAAGAGGCUACGCAAUCCUCGCAAUGCUUCAACAUUGUCGUAAACGGGCAUCGGACCGCAGCCUAUAGCUAACAUCAAAUGAAGGAUUUUUUUCUCCACAAAAGAACUCAUAGCUAACUCUUCACCACUAUGGAAUUCUACUAUUAAACAUUCAUUACUACAUAAGUAUUCGGCUAAGUCGUGCACUAUGUCAUGCAUUUUGCAUAGAAGUAAUUCACCAUCAUAUCCUCUUCCAAAUUCCUGAAAGAAUGAACGGCUAGCUAAGACAUUGAAAUACUCUUCACCAAUUUCCUCCAUCUCUUUGUUUCUUUUAUUGUCAAGGAAACCUUGAGCCAUCCAUAGUUCAAUUAACUUAUCUUUCUUUAGUAUAACGUCUUUUGGAAAGACGGCACAAUAAGUGAAACAUUGUUUUACCUUAGAGGGUAAUUCAUUGUAACUCAACAAUAGAGGGGCUAAAAGAUUUUUCUCAACCUGUUCUAUCUCCCAUAUCUCACUCUUUAAGAUAUUUUGCCAUUCUUUUUCAGUGUUUUUAGACCGCAAGAGACUAGCAAUUGUCUUUGUAGCUAAAGGUAAGCCCUUGCACUUUCUUGUAAUUUCUCGACCAAUUUUUUCUAAAUUCUCACGUUCCUCCAUGGACUUACCAGCAAAUGCUAACGACUCAAACACCGACCAGCAUUCCAUUUCAGACAACACAUUGACAGAUAUGAUGUCAGUUGAUCCCAUAAUACGGGCAACUGCCUCUUUACGUGUGGUAAUUAAAAUUUUACUUCCAUGGAGACAAUUCUUUAAGCAGUUGUUGAAUUGCUCCCAUUUAUGGAAAUUUUCAUUCCACACGUCGUCUAAAACAAGAAGAAGUUUCUUCCCGGCUACAUGUUUUUGAAUAUGUUGCAUGAGAGAUUGAAACUCAACAAAAUUAGGGGCACAACCUGUAACCUGUAAGAGCCUCAAUGAUUGCUCUAGCGAUUCUGAACUCUUCAAAAGGAUCUGACACGCAGACCCAUAUUCUUUUUUCAAAAUUCUUUUCAACAUCACCGUUGUUGUAGGCAAAUUGAGCAAGAGUUGUUUUGCCUAUGCCCCCCAUCCCAACAAGUGAGAUGAUAUGGGGCCCCUUUUGUUCUAUACUAUUCUCACAUAUUAACCUAUCAACCAGUUCGUUCUUCUCAUCUUUUCUACCAAAUAUCUCGGACUCAUCAAUUGAGGAGACACUUGGUAUUCGCUCAUCUGCUCUCUCAUUACUCUUAAUAACAUUCACAGCAAAACCAAACUGGUCUUUCUGUUUGGCAAUAUCAUCAAGACUUUCAUUGAUUUCUUUGAGCUUGAGAGCAAUGUCACGACGUAGAAAAAGUCGUUUGCAACCAAAGCAAGAGGCAGCAGGAAAGAAGGAACAUACCUUCUUCUUAGGAACGAGAGCAUCAUUCUCAUGAUCAUCCACUCCAUCGAUCUGCAGUUUGAGCCUUGCAGUGUUCCACUCACCCAACACAUCUUCCAUGUCGCAACAUGCGUCUCUGAGUUGAUCGAGCCAGAGUCUUGACUGUUUCCUCCUUUAUUUGCCUUUUUUCAGCAUCAUGGAGCACAGUUUGAAUGGUUCGGAGUUUGCGGGUCAGCUUCUCCGCUUCCUUUCCGACGCCCGUUUCCAGCCUCACUUGUUCCUUUGCCUCAUCGACAGCCAUUGAAGUCAGCUGCUCCAAGAUAGGGGAAAGGAUCGCAUCAACCAUGGUGAAAAAGAAAAAAGAGAGAGAGAAGAAAUUGAUGGUGAAUUGUUGCAAAAGUAAGUAGCUAAUUCUGAAAGAAAUGAAGGAGCUGAUAAUGUGGUGAAAAUGUUGCCGUAUUCUUUCAAUUCCGUUUUGGAAUUAUGCAGUCAGUCAUUUUAUUAAAAAAUAAAAUAAAAUAAUAAUAAUAAUAAUAAUAAUAAUAAUUUGAUCAACAGAAUUUGAUCAGCCACCAAAGCUUUACUUCAGUGAUUUUCUCAAUACGAGGUACGGUCCUCAGAACCUUAUCAUGAUGCAUGUAUAUUCUAAGCUUCAUGACAUCAUUUUAAAAAAGUUUUGCUAAGGUAAUUUGAAAUUUGUUUUAUUAAAUGAAUGUUACAUUUACU